GAACCUUAUAAUUACACGAGAUUAACCAUAGUAUAAUACAAUUGAAAUGAAAAAAAAAUUGAUGAUCAGAAGUAAUUUCAUAUCUAUAAAACUCACCUAUAAACAAAAUCCAAAAAAAAGGAGCAUAGUCAUCAUAUCUUUUGCCUUGGAUAUCACCAGUUUAUGGAUGUGCUGCUGCUUCUAUUUCUUGUUGAAGCCAAAUAGGGACUUAAUCGCG
rnacentral:misc_RNA from 1 species